AUCGCAGUCCAACGAGCCGGAGGACGUUUCUUUCAAUGCCCCUUUACAAGCUUUCAUGGAGGUUACAUUGCCCUUACCAUGGUUGUUUACGGGUAAACGGAAAUCAGGGUUCAUUCCCGGAAGGGAACCUGAAAAACGCUACCACACCAAAGGAAGGCAGCAGUCGCAAAUUACCCACUCCCCGGCACGGGAGGAUGACGAAAAAAACAAUACGGGAAAACUCUUUGAGCCCUAAUGAAAUGAAAACACUCUAAACCUUAACGAAGAUCAAUUGGAGGGCAAGGUCUGGUGGCCAGCACCGCGGUAAGUCAGCCUCCAAUACGUAACUAAAGCUUGCCGUUAAAAAGCUCGUAGUUGGAUCUCCAGUUCCAGACAUAAGGCAUCUACCCCCGAAGCGAACGCCCGGACUGAACAUCCAGCCGUUCUUUCUUGUGGCACUUCAUUGGUGCCUCAGAUGCCGGGCUUUUACCUUUGAAAAAAUUAAGUGCUCAAACGCAGGCGGUCCGGCCCCUGGAAAUAUACUUGCAUGGAAUUAAUACCUCGUUUCUGUUCUGUUGGUUUUUGGAAUACGAGGUAAUGAUUAAGAGGGACGGACGGGGGCAUUCGUAUUGCGGCGCUAGAGGUGAAAUUCUUGGACCGUCGCGAAACACUGCAAACAUUUGCCAAGAAUGUUUCAUUGACAAGAACGAAAGCAAGUCGAAGGCGGAUCAAUACCCGCCCUAGUUUUCCUUACCAUAAACAUGCCAACCAGCGAUCCGCCUGAGUUACUCAAAUGACUCGGCGGGCAGCUUCCGGGAAACCAAAGUAUUUGGGUUCCGGGGGAAGUAUGGUUGCAAAGCUGAAACUUAAAGGAAUUGACGGAAGGGCACCACCAGGAGUGGAGCCUGCGGCUUAAUUUGACUCAACACGGGAAAACUUACCCGGCCCGGACACUGGGAGGAUUGACAGAUUGAGAGCUCUUUCUUGAUUCGGUGGAUGGUGGUGCAUGGCCGUUCUUAGUUGGUGGAGCGAUUUGUCUGGUUAAUUCCGAUAACGAACGAGACUCUAGCCUAUAGGUGCGGGGUUCCCAGCACCUUACAACCUUCUUAGAGGGACAAGCGGCUCCUAGCCGCACGAAACAGAGCAAUAACAGGUCUGUGAUGCCCUUAGAUGUCCGGGGCCGCACGCUACUUCCUGAAGAAAGCACCUGUCCCUUAUCCCGCGAAAAGACUGGGUAACCCGUGGAACUUCUUUCGUGAUUGGGAUAGGGGCUUGCAAUUGUUCCCCUUGAACGAGGAAUUCCCAGUAAGCGCGAGUCAUAAGCUCGCGUUACUCCCUGCCCUUUGUACACACCGCCCGUCGCUACUACCGAUUGAAUGAUUUAGUGAGGUCUUCGGACCGAUGUCCGGCGCGGCCUUUCGGUUGCGCCGGUCUGUUGGAAAGAUGACCAAACUUGAUCAUUUAGAGGAAGUAAAAGUCGUAACAAGGUUUCCGUAGGUGAACCUGCGGAAG
rnacentral:rRNA from 1 species